rnacentral:lncRNA from 1 species
AAAGAGAGUCUCACAAAAGACCUAAAUGGACUAAAAACAGAAAAACAAAAAUUGGCACUAGAACUUGAAAAGUACAAGCCUUUUGUAGAAAAAUUUACAUAUAGCUCAGAAAAAUUAGAAAUGAUACUUAAUAGUCAACGAGCUGUGUUCAAUAGAGCUGGUUUAGGGUAUAAACCUAAAAAUAAGCAAAAGCUCCUUAGUAAUUUCUUUGUAAAAGCAGGGAAAAGCAAAACUAAGAAAAUAACAUAUUUUUGCUGUGGAACAUUAGGACAUAAAGCAAAUGUGUGUGAUUAUAGAAAAG